ACGGGAGGCAGCAGUGGGGAAUUUUGGACAAUGGGCGAAAGCCUGAUCCAGCAAUGCCGCGUGAGUGAAGAAGGCCUUCGGGUUGUAAAGCUCUUUUGUCAGGGAAGAAACGGUCUGGGCUAAUACCCUAGGCUAAUGACGGUACCUGAAGAAUAAGCACCGGCUAACUACGUGCCAGCAGCCGCGGUAAUACGUAGGGUGCGAGCGUUAAUCGGAAUUACUGGGCGUAAAGGGUGCGCAGGCGGUUGUGCAAGACAGAUGUGAAAUCCCCGGGCUUAACCUGGGAAUUGCAUUUGUGACUGCACGGCUAGAGUGUGUCAGAGGGGGGUAGAAUUCCACGUGUAGCAGUGAAAUGCGUAGAGAUGUGGAGGAAUACCGAUGGCGAAGGCAGCCCCCUGGGAUAACACUGACGCUCAUGCACGAAAGCGUGGGGAGCAAACAGGAUUAGAUACCCUGGUAGUCCACGCCCUAAACGAUGUCAACUAGUUGUUGGGUCUUAAUUGACUUGGUAACGCAGCUAACGCGUGAAGUUGACCGCCUGGGGAGUACGGUCGCAAGAUUAAAACUCAAAGGAAUUGACGGAAUCACUAGU
rnacentral:rRNA from 1 species